rnacentral:misc_RNA from 1 species
AAGUCGUAACAAGGUUUCCGUAGGUGAACCUGCGGAAGGAUCACUAGUGAUUAAAUCGAGAGUGUCUUCAUUGACCUCUCACCCUUCACAUCCACAUACACCUGUGCACCGUUUGGCUCUUUUAAAAGACGUAAGUCUGCAAAGAGAGUCAUCAAUUUUAUACAUACCCCAGUCUUAUGAAUGUAACAGUUUUAAUAAACAAAAUAAAACUUUUAACAACGGAUCUCUUGGUUCUC